GUGCUCACUUCCGCAGUAUAUAUACUAAAAUUGGAUGACAUGGAGAAGAAGAGCAUGCUCCCUGACAAAGUAUGACACACAAAUUCGUAAAGCAUUCCAUAUUUUA
ensembl:snRNA U6 U6 spliceosomal RNA